ensembl:lncRNA
CUUUCCUUCACUUGGGGCUCAUGACAGGUGCCCCUUUGUUCUUUGAUUUGAUAUUAUCUCAAAUAGCCUUGGAGCUUCAGCCAGGCUAAAAAACUUGCACUGGCAGCAAAAUGCCCAAAUUAGCAUUUUUGCUAAUUCCAGAAAAAUGCAAAGUUGCUGAAGCCCUGCCAGGAACCUGUCAAACUAAUUUGCAGUGGGAGAAGUGGAUCUGGGGUGAGGAAAAUAUUCAGUUGAAUAUGGUACAGAAAACGGCCUGUAUAGACUUUCCUGUUCCUCCUUUUAAAGAUGAUAGAAUCAUGAAUUCCAAAGUCAGAUCUGCCUGCCUUUCCUGGAGGAGACACUCAUGAGCUCUGAACUGGCUUGAAUUUUGAUGAGAACUUACCAUCUUUUGAAGCAUUUUCACCAGACAAGUCCCACAGUAAGAGCAGAGCCACUUGAGACUUGCUGGCAGACCCUAAAGAUGGCAUAGGACAUCUCAUAGGAGGCUGCUUUAUUUGGAGAGCAACUACAUCACAUUUCUGCCUCUUUGUGCAAGGAAAAGGGUUUCUAUAUCUUCACUCUGGUUUUGUUUCC